AAUUUUGGACAAUGGGGGCAACCCUGAUCCAGCCAUCCCGCGUGUGCGAUGAAGGCCUUCGGGUUGUAAAGCACUUUUGGUAGGGAAGAAAAGGCGCCGGAUAAUACCUGGCCCAGCUGACGGUACCUGCAGCAUAAGCACCGGCGAACUCCGAUCCAGCAGCCACGGUAAUACGUAGGGUGCAAGCGUUAAUCGGAAUUACUGGGCGUAAGGCGUGCGCAGGCGGUACGGAAAGAAAGAUGUGAAAUCCCAGGACUUAACCUUGGAACUGCAUUUUUAACUGCCGGGCUAGAGUAUGUCAGAGGGGGGUAGAAUUCCACGUGUAGCAGUGAAAUGCGUAGAGAUGUGGAGGAAUACCGAUGGCGAAGGCAGCCCCCUGGGAUAAUACUGACGCUCAUGCACGAAAGCGUGGGGAGCAAACA
rnacentral:rRNA from 1 species